GAGGACGUGAAACCGAUAAGGUGGAAACGGAUAGAGCCGACGUAUCAGUCCUGUGUUCAGCUGCCUGGCGUUUUGACCUCAGUCGGCUUGUCCAGCUUUUGGCAAUUCGGCUGUUGUUCUGGGCGUCGGUCAGUGCAUUCACAGGUGAUGUGCGCCUAAGCACGCACUAUUCAGCGGUUGGAUAGGCAAUUUGAGGACUCCUCUUCGGAGUGAGAAACCCAAUUGCCUGGAAAAUUGUUUGUGGUGCGUGACUUUAUUCCACGGUGUAAUCGGCUAAAGUAGCUGUUGAUUCUUACCGGGAUUUUGGUUGCAUGCGACCUUGCCUCGGCGAGUUUUAGCUGUUGUGGCGGCCUCGUGGGAUUCUUAGGUGUAAGAGUUGGUCAUCUCUCCGACCCGUCUUGAAACACGGACCAAGGAGUUUAACGAGUGCGCGAGUCAUUGGGUGGUAAACUCAAAGGCGUAAUGAAAGUAAAGGCUGGCUAGACCGGCUUAUAUGUGAUCCCGGCGGUUACGGCCAAUGGGCGCAGCAUAGCCCCGUCCCGACUGCUUGCAGUGAGGCGGAGGAAGAGCGUACUCGCUGAGACCCGAAAGAUGGUGAACUAUGCCUGAGCAGGACGAAGCCAGAGGAAACUCUGGUGGAAGUCCGGAGCGUUUUUGACGUGCAAAUCAAUCGUAUGACUUGGGUAUAGGGGCGAAAGACUAAUCGAAUCAUCUAGUAGCUG
rnacentral:rRNA from 1 species